rnacentral:rRNA from 1 species
GACGAACGCUGGCGGCGUGCUUAACACAUGCAAGUCGAACGGAAAGGCCCUGCUUGCAGGGUACUCGAGUGGCGAACGGGUGAGUAACACGUGGGUGAUCUGCCCUGCACUUCGGGAUAAGCCUGGGAAACUGGGUCUAAUACCGGAUAGGAGCCAUUUUUAGUGUGAUGGUUGGAAAGUUUUUUCGGUGUAGGAUGAGCUCGCGGCCUAUCAGCUUGUUGGUGGGGUAAUGGCCUACCAAGGCGGCGACGGGUAGCCGGCCUGAGAGGGUGGACGGCCACAUUGGGACUGAGAUACGGCCCAGACGCCUACGGGAGGCAGCAGUGGGGAAUAUUGCACAAUGGGCGCAAGCCUGAUGCAGCGACGCCGCGUGGUGGAUGACGGCCUUCGGGUUGUAAACUCCUUUCGCUAGGGACGAAGCUUUUUGUGACGGUACCUAGAUAAGAAGCACCGGCUAACUACGUG